UACGGUAAAAUUUAAUUCGCCGUAGCUCCUCCGUCCGAGUUCCGAUCGCCACACCGUUUUCGGCCACGCGUCCACCGCGUUGAGCUCUAUAUUUUUAUCGGAACAAUUUUAUAGGAUCCAAUUAGCUUGAGAAAAACGUUCACUCUUGCUUAUGUGAAGUUUGGAUAAGAUGCAGGUCGAGAGGCGUCUCGUUAGGCAUCUGGACUCCUGAAGCGAAGUGGUUUCUGGGUUAUUUUGUUAUAUAGAGAUGCAUAUAUAUGCACUUAACUUUCUCUCCGCAUAACUUAUUUUUUUAUCCUCUUAGAGGUUUAUGGAGAGGCAGGAUUUUGUUUUUGUACAUUUGGG